GAUGAACGCUGGCGGCGUGCCUAAUACAUGCAAGUCGAGCGAACAGACGAGGAGCUUGCUCCUCUGACGUUAGCGGCGGACGGGUGAGUAACACGUGGAUAACCUACCUAUAAGACUGGGAUAACUUCGGGAAACCGGAGCUAAUACCGGAUAACAUGUUGAACCGCAUGGUUCAACAGUGAAAGACGGUCUUGCUGUCACUUAUAGAUGGAUCCGCGCCGCAUUAGCUAGUUGGUAAGGUAACGGCUUACCAAGGCAACGAUGCGUAGCCGACCUGAGAGGGUGAUCGGCCACACUGGAACUGAGACACGGUCCAGACUCCUACGGGAGGCAGCAGUAGGGAAUAUUCCGCAAUGGGCGAAAGCCUGACGGAGCAACGCCGCGUGAGUGAAGAAGGUCUUCGGAUCGUAAAACUCUGUUAUUAGGGAAGGACAAAUGUGUAAGUAACUAUGCACGUCUUGACGGUACCUAAUCAGAAAGCCACGGCUAACUACGUG
rnacentral:rRNA from 1 species